rnacentral:rRNA from 1 species
AACGAACGCUGGCGGCAUGCCUAACACAUGCAAGUCGAACGAGAUCUUCGGGUCUAGUGGCGCACGGGUGCGUAACGCGUGGGAAUCUGCCCUUUGGUUCGGAAUAACAGUUGGAAACGACUGCUAAUACCGGAUGAUGACGAAAGUCCAAAGAUUUAUCGCCAGAGGAUGAGCCCGCGUAGGAUUAGCUAGUUGGUGUGGUAAAGGCGCACCAAGGCGACGAUCCUUAGCUGGUCUGAGAGGAUGAUCAGCCACACGGGGACUGAGACACGGCCCAGACUCCUACGGGAGGCAGCAGUGGGGAAUAUUGGACAAUGGGCGAAAGCCUGAACCAGCAAGGCCGCGUGAGUGAAGAAGGCCUUAGGGUUGUAAAGCUCUUUUACCCGGGAUGAUAAUGACAGUACCGGGGGAAUAAGCUCCGGCUAACUCCGUGCCAGCCGCCGCCGUAA